UUUCUGUCUUUCCUUCCUUCCUUCCUUCUUUUCUUUCUCCUCUUCUCUGUUGAGUGCAAAAGUGGAGCACCCUUUCGUUUUCCUUUGUUUGAAGAAAGACAGAAAGGUGGAGGGAGGAAGGAAGGAAGGAUGUUGUCGAAGAGCAAAGAAAGAAAAAACGA
rnacentral:ribozyme from 1 species